rnacentral:lncRNA from 1 species
AGAUAGGGGUGAAUAUCCUCGUGUGUGCUUGUUUUCUUUAUCACUAAGUAGAUUUAUUUGUUGUUCCAAGUUGUUCUAUAUCUUUAGUUAUGAAUACGGAACACGAAAUACCUAAAAAAUUAGGUGUACUUGCUACUCAUGGAGACGGGGAACCUCCUAAAACCCUCGAGGCUCGUUAUGUGGAAAAUAUUAUGCACUUCUUUAAUAAUCCUGAGAAAGCCCCAUUCAAUUAUAUAAUGG